CGCGCAGGCGGUUCCGUAAGUUGGACGUGAAAUCUUUCGGCUCAACCGGGAGGGGUCGUCCAAUACUGCAGGACUUGAGGUCGGGAGAGGGAAGUGGAAUUCCCGGAGUAGUGGUGGAAUGCGUAGAUAUCGGGAGGAACACCAGUGGCGAAGGCGGCUUCCUGGCCCGUACCUGACGCUAAGGCGCGAAAGCGUGGGGAGCGAACG
rnacentral:rRNA from 1 species